AUGACCGUUUGCCACCUUCUUCUUGGACGCCCAUGGCAACUUGCUAGAGGUGUCAUCUACAACGGCGGAACGAACCACUACAUCUUCAAGAUGAAAGGAAAGGAGUAUGUACUUCUACCUAUGUCUCCAAGCCAAGUGAUCGCCGACAAGCAAGCCACCCAUCGUGGAGAGAAUAGUAAGAGAGCGAACCACCAAAAAGAGGGUGAGCGCCACAAGCCCAAAUCGAGUGCCUCCAUGAUGAACGACAAGAAGAACUUAGUUCUAUUUGCCACCAAAAGUGAGAUACGAGGAGUGUGUGAGAACCCAUCUAGUGUCCUAAACUAUGUCCUUUUGUGCAAGGACAACGCAACACAAGCUAACACCUCUCACGCUCUACCUUUAGUGUUGUCUUCUCUUUUGCAGGAAUUCAUCCCCGACGAGCUACCU
rnacentral:rRNA from 1 species